GGGGAUGCCAAGGAUUUGACUGUAAGUGUAUUCUAUAUAUGGCAAGCCGAAACCGCUAUAUGUUCGUAAAAAUGUAGCACCCAUAACUGCAGAUGAUGUAGCUUAUGUAUACGAAGACGCUGAUGUAUUUGCACCUGCAUUUGCUUAAGCUUUUCGUUAUGACUUACCUAUAAGUGUGAGUCAGGUUGUGCAGGUUCUGUCUGGAGGACUUGUUUCAAUCUUAUAAAACCAGAAUGAGGUGAUCUGUGAUUGGUCGCCCCAGUUUGCCAAGCACUAGAGUGUAAACUUAGACCUAGGAAGGGUUUAGAGGUUAGCUAAUUUCCUCUCCUUCUAAAUUCAAAGAUUAGAUAAGCUUGUACACCGUUAUGGUUUAGCUUACAACACAGGGGUUCGACUCCCCUCAUCUCCACCU
rnacentral:tmRNA from 1 species